GGCCCUGUAGUUCAGAUGGAUAGAACGAGGGCAUCCUAAGCCCUGCGUCGGGGGUUCGAGUCCUCCCAGGGCCACCA
rnacentral:tRNA from 2 species